rnacentral:misc_RNA from 1 species
AAAAAUUUGAGCCUUUUUAUUAAGUCAUUAAAUGCUAAAGUAUAAUUCUUUCAUUCGUACACAAUUAUUAAAGAGUGCAUAAAGAUUAUGGUAAACAUACAUAUUAUUCUUGUAUUUUCAAAACACGUAUUAACAAACCUUUGAAACCAAGCACAACAUCUAACAAUUUACAAUACAUGUCCACUAAAAACUCAAAACAUACAUAUAGAAUUUGCUAGACUUUAGCUUUUUGCUAUCCUUUCUGGUAAAUGUCUCUAAUCCUGCAAUACUUCACCUAGGGUUAAGGGAAGGUGGUAAGCUUUGGGAAGCUUAGUGAAUAAACUAACAGAUGUUGAUUUGUUAUAUUAUUCAAUAUGCAAUGUGUCAAUCACAUGAGUUUGCACAACACAAAUAAUUUACAUAAGAUAGACUUUCCACCAAUGAUUUUUCGAUAACCAUAGUGCUAGGACUUCCUCUUAUUACAUAAUAUAACUAACAUGCUUGGCUCAUAAAAAAGCUCAUUGGAUCUUUCUCUAUCAUAAAUAGUGAGCCAGGGGCUUAUUAAGCCUCACUUGGUCUUACCACAUUAUAUCGUGCAUGAUUAUAAUAUAUCCAUAUCAUAAGGCAAAUCAAUGGGUCAUCCAACAUUUAUCGAGCAUUAACAAUAAUUAUGCAAUAAUGCAGCAUAUUUGUAUUCUAGAUACAUACAACCUAAUAAAUUAUGAAAUGAUGCAUGUGAAUAAUUAUGAGCUCAAUUUUAAUUAAUUAAAGAGAUUAUCAUUUGUUAGGGUUAGUGUAACUCACCUCUUGUAGCCUAUUAAACACCAAACACGAACAGUCGCUAUUCCUUAACUAUAGCUUUUCGGGUCCCUCAAGUUUGAUCCUAUUGUAGAGGGACCAACACUAGAAGAGCUACCAAGUGAAGAAGAGAAGCCCAUAGAAACACCUCUCGCUGCUAUGGAAAUGGGGUUGAUACUGGCCAUGGGAAAGAUUGGUAGUGAGAAAACCAAAGUGGCACUGAAAAUGGGCUGAGGAAACACGAAUCAUGUGAAAGAGAGACCCACAGCUAGCGAUGGCAUACGAAUGGCGAUAGGGAUGAACCGAUAGCAUGGAUGAACACCAAAAGACCAACAUUAGUCGUGGCGCGGUGGUUGGCUGAGCAUGAAUCACACAAAGGAGAUGGCGGCGCACUGAAGAAAGAGAGAAGAAGAGGAAAAGAAGAAAAAAAAGACUUAUGAGUUUUGUGAUUUUAUGAAGAAAAUGGAGGUUGGAUAGUGAAAAAGAAGAGUUUGUUCAAGGGGAAUGGAUUUCGAUGAUGAUUUUGAAGAACUUAAAAAAUGAUGGUGUAGAAAUU